AUUGAACGCUGGCGGCAGGCCUAACACAUGCAAGUCGAGCGAGCGGCGGACGGGUGAGUAAUGUAUGGGGACUGCCCGAUAUAGGGGGAUAACUCCUGUAAACGGUAUCUCAUACCGCAUACUAUCGGAUAACCCAUAUGGGAUUAUCUAGUAGGUGGGGGAAUGGCUCACCUCGGCGACGAUCCCUAGCUGGUCUGAGAGGAUGAUCAGCCACACGGGGACUGAGACACGGCCCAGACUCCUACGGAGGCAGCAGUGGUGAAUAUUGCACAAUGGGCGCAAGCCUGAUGCAGCCAUGCCGCGUGUAUGAAGAAGGCCCUAGGGUUGUAAAGUACUUUCAGUCGGGAGGCGUUACCGGCAGAAGAAGCACCGGCUAACUCCGUGCCAGCCGCCGCGGUAAUAC
rnacentral:rRNA from 1 species